CUAAUACAUGCAAGUCGUACGCUUCUUUUUCCACCGGAGCUUGCUCCACCGGAAAAAGAAGAGUGGCGAACGGGUGAGUAACACGUGGGUAACCUGCCCAUCAGAAGGGGAUAACACUUGGAAACAGGUGCUAAUACCGUAUAACAAUCGAAACCGCAUGGUUUUGAUUUGAAAGGCGCUUUCGGGUGUCGCUGAUGGAUGGACCCGCGGUGCAUUAGCUAGUUGGUGAGGUAACGGCUCACCAAGGCCACGAUGCAUAGCCGACCUGAGAGGGUGAUCGGCCACAUUGGGACUGAGACACGGCCCAAACUCCUACGGGAGGCAGCAGUAGGGAAUCUUCGGCAAUGGACGAAAGUCUGACCGAGCAACGCCGCGUGAGUGAAGAAGGUUUUCGGAUCGUAAAACUCUGUUGUUAGAGAAGAACAAGGAUGAGAGUAACUGUUCAUCCCUUGACGGUAUCUAACCAGAAAGCCACGGCUAACUACGUGCCAGCAGCCGCGGUAAUACGUAGGUGGCAAGCGUUGUCCGGAUUUAUUGGGCGUAAAGCGAGCGCAGGCGGUUUCUUAAGUCUGAUGUGAAAGCCCCCGGCUCAACCGGGGAGGGUCAUUGGAAACUGGGAGACUUGAGUGCAGAAGAGGAGAGUGGAAUUCCAUGUGUAGCGGUGAAAUGCGUAGAUAUAUGGAGGAACACCAGUGGCGAAGGCGGCUCUCUGGUCUGUAACUGACGCUGAGGCUCGAAAGCGUGGGGAGCAAACAGGAUUAGAUACCCUGGUAGUCCACGCCGUAAACGAUGAGUGCUAAGUGUUGGAGGGUUUCCGCCCUUCAGUGCUGCAGCUAACGCAUUAAGCACUCCGCCUGGGGAGUACGACCGCAAGGUUGAAACUCAAAGGAAUUGACGGGGGCCCGCACAAGCGGUGGAGCAUGUGGUUUAAUUCGAAGCAACGCGAAGAACCUUACCAGGUCUUGACAUCCUUUGACCACUCUAGAGAUAGAGCUUCCCCUUCGGGGGCAAAGUGACAGGUGGUGCAUGGUUGUCGUCAGCUCGUGUCGUGAGAUGUUGGGUUAAGUCCCGCAACGAGCGCAACCCUUAUUGUUAGUUGCCAUCAUUCAGUUGGGCACUCUAGCAAGACUGCCGGUGACAAACCGGAGGAAGGUGGGGAUGACGUCAAAUCAUCAUGCCCCUUAUGACCUGGGCUACACACGUGCUACAAUGGGAAGUACAACGAGUCGCGAAGUCGCGAGGCUAAGCUAAUCUCUUAAAGCUUCUCUCAGUUCGGAUUGUAGGCUGCAACUCGCCUACAUGAAGCCGGAAUCGCUAGUAAUCGCGGAUCAGCACGCCGCGGUGAAUACGUUCCCGGGCCUUGUACACACCGCCCGUCACACCACGAGAGUUUGUAACACCCGAAGUCGGUGAGGUAACCUUUUGGAGCCAGCCGCCUAAGGUG
rnacentral:rRNA from 1 species